rnacentral:rRNA from 1 species
GACGAACGCUGGCGGCGUGCUUAACACAUGCAAGUCGAACGGAAAGGCCCUGCUUUUGUGGGGUGCUCGAGUGGCGAACGGGUGAGUAACACGUGAGUAACCUGCCCUUGACUUUGGGAUAACUUCAGGAAACUGGGGCUAAUACCGGAUAGGAGCUCCUGCUGCAUGGUGGGGGUUGGAAAGUUUCGGCGGUUGGGGAUGGACUCGCGGCUUAUCAGCUUGUUGGUGGGGUAGUGGCUUACCAAGGCUUUGACGGGUAGCCGGCCUGAGAGGGUGACCGGCCACAUUGGGACUGAGAUACGGCCCAGACUCCUACGGGAGGUAGCAGUGGGGAAUAUUGCACAAUGGGCGGAAGCCUGAUGCAGCAACGCCGCGUGCGGGAUGACGGCCUUCGGGUUGUAACCCGCUUUCGCCUGUGACGAAGCGUGAGUGACGGUAAUGGGUAAAGAAGCACCGGCUAACUACGUG